rnacentral:misc_RNA from 1 species
AAGUCGUAACAAGGUUUCCGUAGGUGAACCUGCGGAAGGAUCAUCACUAGUAUCUAAAUACACUCUGUGUUGUUGGUUCGGUUGUUUGCGUAAGCAGACAACUGGCAGACACACAGAACCAUUACCAUCUCGUGAACUGUCAAUGUCAGUGUUCAAGGCAGACUGGAAGUGCUUGUUAUUUGAUGUGUAAAUGUCGGAUGACACCUUCCAGCCGGCCGCCUGUCUAACAACAGACACCUGUUUUAUUAAAUGUCUAAGAAUCUCAAUCUGUGAAAGUUUAUUGAAUAUCAAUACAACUUGUAGCGAUGGAUCUCUUAGCUCUG